rnacentral:rRNA from 1 species
CUCCGACUCCUCGCAUGGGGUGUCGGGAAAGAUUUCAUCGGUAUGGGAUGGGGUCGCGUCCUAUCAGGUAGUCGGCGGGGUAACGGCCCACCGAGCCUACGACGGGUAGCCGGCCUGAGAGGGCGACCGGCCACAUUGGGACUGAGAUACGGCCCAGACUCCUACGGGAGGCAGCAGUGGGGAAUAUUGCACAAUGGGCGCAAGCCUGAUGCAGCGACGCCGCGUGCGGGAUGACGGCCUUCGGGUUGUAAACCGCUUUUGAUCGGGAGCAAGCCUUCGGGUGAGUGUACCUUUCGAAUAAGCACCGGCUAACUACGUGCCAGCAGCCGCGGUAAUACGUAGGGUGCAAGCGUUAUCCGGAAUUAUUGGGCGUAAAGGGCUCGUAGGCGGUUCGUCGCGUCCGGUGUGAAAGUCCAUCGCUUAACGGUGGAUCUGCGCCGGGUACGGGCGGGCUGGAGUGCGGUAGGGGAGACUGGAA